rnacentral:tRNA from 1 species
UGGUGUAAGGCGAACAUCGCUGCCCGAAAAGCAGAAGAUGCGGGUUCGAGUCCCGC